AAGUCGUAACAAGGUUUCCGUAGGUGAACCUGCGGAAGGAUCAUUACUGAAUUAAUGGUCGGGGUUGUCGCUGGCCUUCACCGGCAUGUGCACGCCUUGCUCAUCCAAAUUCUUACACCUCUGUGCACUUUACAUGGGAUGACUGCAGCUGCCCUGCUUAAUUGCUCGGCGACUUGGUUGUUCUGUGCUUUAUUACAAACGCUUCAGUAUAGAAUGUCAUUUGCGUAUCACGCAUUAAAUACAACUUUUAGCAACGGAUCUCUUGGCUCUC
rnacentral:misc_RNA from 1 species